rnacentral:sRNA from 1 species
AGGAUGGGCCUUUCAGGCAUCCUCUCCUAAAAACUUUUUAGGGUCAGUUCUUCGGAGCUGGCCCUUUUUUUUGGCUGAU